UACGAAGGGGGCUAGCGUUGCUCGGAAUUACUGGGCGUAAAGCGCACGUAGGCGGCUUUCUAAGUCGGGGGUGAAAUCCUGGAGCUCAACUCCCAGGACUGCCUUCGAUACUGGAAAGCUCGAGUCCGGGAGAGGUGAGUGGAACUGCGAGUGUAGAGGUGAAAUUCGUAGAUAUUCGCAAGAACACCAGUGGCGAAGGCGGCUCACUGGCCCGGUACUGACGCUGAGGUGCGAAAGCGUGGGGAGCAAACAGG
rnacentral:rRNA from 1 species